UUUUACAGAUGACAAACUGACGCUUAGAAACACACAACUAGCAACUGGUAGAACCGAGAUUUGAACUGAGGACUUUCUGGAUGCCAAAGCCUAUGCUUUCUACCAUCACACACCACUUUUGCAAAGAUACAAGAAUCAGGGUAAUCGACAGCUGUUUGAGGCCACUCAGGAAGAUUAAAGUUAUGCUUAGAGCCUGAAGCGCUUUUGGAGGAACACUUUUUUUUUUUUUUUAGUGACAUUAAGUUCAUAUUAUAGAUACUCUCGUUCCUUUUUUUUUUUUUUUUUUUAAAUGGGGUCUCACUCCAUCACUCAGCUGCUCAUGUCUUUAAAUUCAGGUUGGGGAUCACCACCUUCAAGAAGCCUAAGGUCACUGAAGUCUAAUUUAGAUGUUUCUUUGAUAUAUUCCCAUAGUAUGCUGAAUAUCUGUUAUCAGUAAAACUUCUCAAACCA